CGGCCCUGAAACACACACACACGCAGUCACAUCUGAAUCACAUGACCUGGCAGCAGUAUGAGGUUCUGUUCAGUUCUGGUGGGAACACUCAGUGUCCAUAAAUGUGAUUUACUCUGGUAAACGUGUACUGUAGUGAGACGAAUUCUUCUCUGAAUUAUUUGAUGUUAAAAGGGGUUGAUGGAAUUUUCUAAUAACGAAACAUCUCUGUAGUUGCUACACAGAGGCCAGUUAGUUACGUUUGUUCUGAAAAACAUGGGGAAAUUAACCUCAUCCAUCCAUCCAUCAACAGUGCUACAUGCAGCCAACACCUCCACUUUUUCUCCCUCUGUACCUGGACAGUGUCCACCUGCAGCACCUCUCCUCUUCAGAUCGCCUCAUCACCUCUGCUUCUGUGUUCUGAUUGGUUCUCAGCGGAGAACCACAAGGCCCAGACCUCGGUGAAGAUAUGGUCAUGGUUGUGGCUCUCAGACCGCGGAGGAUUAACUCUAUAAAAUAUAACUAGUUGUUUUAAACUAACUUGACAAACUCAGAACCACCCAGAAUCUGGAUCAGAACCAUUCUGAGCUGCUCCUGGUUCUAAGAACUAAGACAGAAACUAAAAAGUCCUCAGAGAGCACAAACAACAAGUUUGAAGAAGCGUCAGGACACCAGCUGGUUCCUGUAGAACCACCUGCUGAAUGUGGGCCGUCUUUAUUUCUCUAAAACCAAAAUGGUAAAAAAAUAAAAGGUGAAAGAGCUCAAAGAAAGAACUGAAACCAAUCAGCUGAUCUGAUCUGUGUUUCAGAGCAGGAUUAAUAAUCAUACGAGGACCAGAAAAUCCGUCCAGACCCACUGGGACAUGUUGAAACCUAAACGUUGGGACACAGGAAGUGUGUGUGUGUGUCUGUGUCUGUGUGUAAAAUGUGCUUGUUCUGCUACUUUUAGGACGAUACCAUAAUUUUUCAACCUUUGAAAUGAGGAAUUUUUUGCAAAGUGAGGACAUUGUGGCACUCUAAUGUCCUCCAGAGGUUAUUUAUUGGCUUCUCUCUAAGUUUCAGACAGGUCCUCAAAAAGGUUUUAGAGUGCAAAAAAGCAGCUACAUAUCAAAUGUGUGUAUGUGCAUAUAUACAACCGACUAUGGGCGAUGAAUUUAACACACUGUACUCAGUGUGUGUGUGUGUGUGAACCCUGCAGGAACACUUCCAGACCAGUACCUCGGUGAAGUUGAUCUUCUCUCCAGAGAACAUCUUGUCUCGGGCCUCCUCCACUCCCCUGGACUUGGCCUGAACAAACACAGACAGUGUAAAUAAAUAAAAAACUAAAGACUUGGUUUUGUGGUUUUGUUUAUGGAUUGAACCUGGUUCAGAUAAUCCAGGUUUCUGACUGAGCUCAGCUCACUUAUGGACCCGAUGAGGUCUGGUUCCUCUGUGGCGUGAGGAGGAAGGAGUGUGUUAUCAGGAGUGUGUGGACACACCUGAUGUUGACACUGUCUCAACACAUGUGUUGUAAUCUUCCUGUUUAACUGAAACUUUGAGCAACAGAUUUCAUGUUGACCCAGCAGCUCCUGGUCCAGGUCCGGACCAGAUAAGGCACGCCAGACCCGGCCCCCACUCCUCACCUCACAGCUCCGCCCUCUGCAGGGUCACAUAGGGGACACUCACCAUAGCGAGCAGCAUGGACAAGAUGUCCUCAGUGAUGAGGUUCUUGGAGAAGUCCACCAGGAUGUCCCCGUCAUCAGUCUUCAGAGUGGUGCUGUCAAUAUCCAGAGAGACCUUCAUCAAACUUCAUUUAAAACAACGUUCACUAACAAAUACAACCAAACAUGAGGACGGAGCUGUCCAGAGGCCUGUUGACACAACCAGGCCAGAACACUGACCAUAAACUCAGUCACAUGAUCCCAUCACCAGCUGCACAUGCUCAGUGUGGUCCUAAUCAUGUUUCAUUAACUGGACUGAAUGUUUCCAUCAAAGUCACUCAGUUUUUAAAAUUGAUAACCAGGAGCUAUUCCUCAGGGUUCUGUGGUUCUGCUGGUUGGAAAGCCUGAUCAGUCACCACUGCCUGGCCAAGCCUUUUAAGGGCCCUAAGCAGAAUAAAAUUUGAAGGGGGGGGAUUGUGUCAAUGAAAUAAAUA